ACAUUCAUGCCAGCUCAGCUUCACAAUCUCUUCCCAUUGCCUUCACAUCCUCUGUAAUUUUCAGGGAUAAAUCUGAACAUAAGUUUCUGCCACGGCGAAUCUGCAAAUCAAAGCCCAGAUCCUGCAAAAACUUUGUUUUGUGUAGAGCUGGGGCCAUGAAUAGAAAUUACAGUUGUUACCAGUAAUGCCACUGCAGUCCUGUAGAAAUCCAGACACAUUAUUUGACUACACUCUUUCCUGCAGCAACGAAUUCCACAUUGUGAAGAAGUAUUUCCUUUCAUUUUCCUGACGAUGUCCCUGCGCUAUGGGAUUUCAGACAAAGAUUUAUACUCUGCUCCAUUAAAAUUAGAACAGUGGAUGUUAACAGAAGGGGUUUUCUGGCCUUUUGUAACUAUCAAUAACUCAGCCCUUACUAGCUGUCACAGCUUUCCAGAGCCAUUCCUAUGCUCAUUUCAGUACUUACUUCACUGUGUCCUAGGAAAAAGGGUAAGGAUUUCAAACCGGAUUAUCGACUGUACUGAGAAAGUUGUCUAAUAAAAUAAAGUAUUUUGGUAAGGAGAAUUCAGAAGCUUAUUGAAUGUCAAACUUUUCCAGAAUGAUUACAAAUCUCAUCUCAUAGAGUGAAAAUCAUACUGGCAAUUAGAUCAAGAAUGGCUGAUUAAAUUCCUUAGGCUUCCCAAAUUGCAACAGUAGUAUUUGUUUCAAAGAUCUUAUAAUGACUGUAUUUAAAAGCCUGAUAUUCAAUACUUUCCUCUAAAUUGCUCCUGAUGUCAAAUCAGGGUACACAACAUUCUGCCUACAGCAUAUGCUAUAGCAGAUCCAAGAGUAUGACCUUCGUGGCAGCAUGUACAUCACUUGCCUCGUGCUAAUCUUCUCUUUGAAAAUCAGAGUAGAGGGAUUUUGUAGAAGAGGUAGUGGGUCUGAUUAAAAGCCUAUGAAAUCAAUGGAAAAACUUUCAUCUACCAAGGAUGUUAAUGGACGUUGGACUAGGUCCCUUGACGCUGAUUUUGCUGAUCACAAUAUAAAUGCCUGUCUCCCAAUGCUGUAAUGUACUUACUUCCUAACUAGGAAAGUGUAAGCGACACACACAUUUAUCUUAACCUAGUCUACAUAUUUCAGCUGCUUUGAUGUCACUAGAUCAGAGGAUCUGACAAAGCAAGAGCCAGCUGCAAAGUAAGGAAGUCUUUAGAGAGUAGUGAAAUUAUAUACUUCUUCAGUGGCCUUUAUUGUUCAAGAGAGUUUCUUAUUUGUUACUGUCCUGCUCGUAGCAGUGAUAAAGUGUUCUAAAACUGAAGUCCAUUCUGUUGCUCUCACAUCCAAUAUAUGCAAACCUUUUAAAAGGCAGAAAAAUUCCUGAUGUUUGAAAAAGUUGCUUUUGGUGCCAAAGCAGACAGAAAACGUCUAUGCUCCUGUAGAAAUGCAAGGGGAAUAAAGCUGUUUCUAAGG
ensembl:lncRNA